rnacentral:lncRNA from 1 species
GAGCAGCCACUCCCUCAUCUCAUUUCAGCCGACACCCCUCUUUCCUUUUCUUCCUUCACUCUCGAACACAUAAACCAAAUCACAGGGAACCAAACCUGUCAUCUCUCCCUCUCCGAUUUGGGUUCACCGACGAGUCAACCACGACGGCGCUUCGUUUUCUGGCGAUUCAGAGCUGGUCGAGCUCCAACUGAUGUGGAUUCAGUCCAAUUCCUGUUCGAGUCUCCAUUUCGGGUUAGAUUUGAGACCAGACCUUGUGUUGUUUGCUCCGACGACUCUCUUCCGGUUCAUUAACGAUGGCAUAACCGUCGAACGUCGAGAACAGCAGCGGUGCUGGGCGUUUCGUCUGCGGCGGCGACGGCGAAGUGGGUUCAGCUCCGGGUUGUUUUCAUCUCAGACCCGGUACAGUGGUGGUGUUAGCUCGGGUUGGUAACGGGACUGGUUCUGUUUAGAUUCCGGUUCGGGUCGUCUAGAAUCGAUCUUGCUUCAGUUCGUUCGGGUUCACGACACGGGGUAGCUCGGUUCAUUCGUUUCAGUUUUGGUUUCGGUUCUAUGUUCGGGUCAAAUCUGGUCAACAACGGUCAAAUAGUCAACACGGGUCAAACCCGGUCAACUGACGGGUCGACGGUUCAUCCGAGACUUGGGUGACCUCGGUGUUCCAUCCUCCAAAUCCCUUUCACUCGUCAACAAUCGGAUAAUCGGAAGAAUUUGCAAUAUUGUGAGUAUACUCGCAACCCCCUUUUUAUGUUUACCACUUUUUGGGGUGUAACAUGUUUUACUAUUAAACUACACUUAAACUUAUUCUUUAUGCGAUGCACAAAACAAUCCUUAUACAUGAAUACUAUGUUAUGAUACUUGAUGCUUACGUGGACCAUACUUAUGUGAUAUGUUUUAGUCAUUAGCUCUCACGAGCCUCCCUUCGACAUGUAUAGCACUAUAGGAGUAACGCACCGCCCCCCUUAAACUUGGGUCAUGUUGAAUUAAUUAAACUUUCUUGCGUAAACAGAGGUUGGCUAGAAAUAUUGCAUGCCACGCUAGGUUGAUCUCGUAUAGACUAAGUUGCCAUGUGGAUUCGUUUUAAACUUUUAUACUUAUACUUAUACUUAUGCUUAAACUUGUAUACUCACCUUUGCUUUUGCAUUGAAUUGUAUUUUAAACAUGUUACAAGUUGAUGAUGACGAUGCUAUGAAAAGAAGUAGCGUUGAUGCCUAGAUACACACAUAGACGUUUAGGUUUAAUAUGUUGUAUCAAUUUUGAUUGUGUUGUUAUGUAUUUCCUUCGAACUUGUGGUUAUUUGUAUUUCUUGUAUUGUUGACAAUUUACUUAUGAAAUGAAAUCGGUUUAUUAAAUAUUGUCACAAAUAGCGUUAUGAAGUCUCUUGCAAUCUUCACACUUCGUCUCAUCCCGAUGUUUCCGCCAUUGGUUGGGGUGUGACAUCGAAUGUACUUCUUGAUGGCCAUGUCUGGCAUCUUGACUUGAUCGGGACAGAUAAUGCUAAGCUGCUUGAAGCGAGCAGUUAAAGCAGCGUUGUCUCCGUCCUUCUGCUUGAUGUUCCAAAACUCGUCCUCCAGCUUUUGGCGUUCAUGGGGAGGGCAGAACUCGUCCAUCAUGAUGGCCUUCAGCUCUUCCCAAGUCAGCUCAUCAGCUGCAUCAUUCCCGCGUUUGUUUCGCUCGGCCGUCCACCAGUCUAAAGCUCGGGACUGGUAGACACCGGUCGCAUUGAGGGUACGGAGAUUUUCAGGACAGCCGCUUUGGCGCAGAGUGACUUCGACCGAAUCAAACCAUUGAAACAUGGCGGUAGGGCCAUCUUCUCCGGUAAACUCUUUUGGUCCGCAUGCCUUGAACUGUUUAAAGCUGAAAAGAGUCUUCUUAGCAUCUUUAGGAGCAUCAAUUCGCGACUCCUCAGACGAUUUGCUGACGUUUUCAUACACCUCACUCACAGCUUUUGCCACUUGCUUGGUGAUGAUAGCAGCGAGACGCUUGUCUCUCUUUUCUUGGCGAGUCAGAGGGGUUCGGUGUCCGGAUGACGACAUGGUCUGCAACCGACAUCGUCGUAGGUCUCAGACACAACAAAUCGAAUCUCACCUCACACGUCUACUACUUACUAAAGCAUAGGAGUACGUCGAAACACGUAUCACAUAAACACAUAAGCACAUAACCACAGAUUCACGUAAUCACAGAAGCACUUAAGCACGUAGACACGUAGAGCACAAAGACAUAUAAACACAGAAGCACAUAUAUAUUUAAUCCCAGAUGCAGUAAAUAUCACGUAAUCCUCCUACCCGCACACAGUAGCACAUACUGUAUCCUGACUGCAUCUAAGUUUUACGAGUUAUUCGAAUAUAGCGUUCGCACAUGGCAUAUCGAGUAGUAUAGUAUGAUCGUAUAACAUGUCGAGUAUAGUAUAAGCGUACAUCGUAGCAUAAUGUCGUCUAGAUUUGCAGCGACUUGUUACCGUACUGAGAUAGGAGAGCAAUGUGAGUCGUGCGUGUCGAUCGAUAUGGGAGCAAAAAUCGAGUGAACAUCAAAAUUGAACACAUAAACAAUUAAACUCAUAUAAUCACAUAAACGAGUCAUCAGAGUCAGCAGUUGCGGGCUCAUAAUCGAAACACAUAAAAUCGAGAAAUGGAUUGUCUGUGGCUAUAGACGUCGACUACCCAAAGUGAUUCGACUAUUCACAAUAGACUUGUCGUCACUUUUCGACUUUCGGGAUCGUGUUUCUGCCUCGAUUCUUGGGCAUUCAGCACGUAUUCCCUAGGUCAUACCCGUGAGUUCAGGUCGUUGGAGUCCAUCGAGGCUUUGGUGAGAUGAAAUAAAAGUCGGAACAAGUUGUCAAGGUUAGGGUUUCACCCCUAGCUUAGCAACUUCUUCCUUGUUUUAGCAAAAUUGAGGAGAUUAUUCAUCAAAAUAUGGAUUUCACUCCUGAUUUGGUAUAAUCCUCCUCGUUU